AACGAACGCUGGCGGCAGGCUUAACACAUGCAAGUCGAACGCUCGUAGCAAUACGGGAGUGGCGGACGGGCGAGUAACGCGUGGGAACGUGCCCUGAGGUACGGAAUAACUGAGGGAAACUUCAGCUAAUACCGUAUGAGCCCCGAGAGGGGAAAGAUUUAUCGCCUUGGGAGCGGCCCGCGUCGGAUUAGCUAGUUGGUGGGGUAACGGCCUACCAAGGCUUCGAUCCGUAGCUGGUCUGAGAGGACGAUCAGCCACACUGGGACUGAGACACGGCCCAGACUCCUACGGGAGGCAGCAGUGGGGAAUCUUGCGCAAUGGGGGCAACCCUGACGCAGCCAUGCCGCGUGAACGAUGAAGGCCUUAGGGUUGUAAAGUUCUUUUACCCGUGACGAUGAUGACGGUAACGGGGAAUAAGCUCCGGCGUAACUUCGUGCCAGCAGCCG
rnacentral:rRNA from 1 species